UACGUAGGGGGCAAGCGUUGUCCGGAUUUAUUGGGCGUAAAGAGCGUGUAGGCGGCUUUACAGGUCCGUUGUGAAAACUCGAGGCUCAACCUCGAGACGCCGGUGGAAACCGUAAGGCUAGAGUCCGGAAGAGGAGAGUGGAAUUCCUGGUGUAGCGGUGAAAUGCGCAGAUAUCAGGAGGAGCACCGAUGGCGAAGGCAGGUCUCUGGGCAUUAACUGACGCUGAGGAGCGAAAGCAUGGGGAGCGAACAGG
rnacentral:rRNA from 1 species